AUGGGCCAAUUUUUAUGUUUACAUUUUGUUGCACGAUCAAAUGCCGGAAGUAAGUUUGUUUUCUCAUUCUAUUCCACGAUUCGUUGCUCUGGGAAUUUUUAUUUACGUUACAUUUUGGUGCACGACCAAAUGCCCGAAAUUGCAACGUAGCCUAUUCGGCCACCUGGUUGGAGCGUUGUGCUAUUAACGCAAAGGUUGAAGCCCUGCGGGUUCAGGAUCUGCAUGGACCGGAACUCUCUGGCUCGUGGUGUCGUCAUUUACCAGAAUACGUGCAAAGGUGUUUGACGAAAUGCCUGAAAGGAGUUCUCAUUCCUUCCCGAGUAUAUUCAGUGCGCAUGGCCGGUGGUGGUGACUGUUGAGUGCAAAUGUGCGAUUCUUCGCGAGUGCGAAUGGGCGAUUCUUUUCAUCAGGCUUUUCUUAUCGACGGGAAAUGUAAAAUGGCCGCAACCAUUUCUUGUUGGGAAAAGAUUAUUGAACAGCUUAUUUGACCCAUCCUAAAUGAAUUCUCAUUGCAUUAAA